rnacentral:rRNA from 1 species
AUUGAACGCUGGCGGCAGGCCUAACACAUGCAAGUCGAACGAGUGGCGGACGGGUGAGUAAUGUCUGGGAAACUGCCCGAUGGAGGGGGAUAACUACUGGAAACGGUAGCUAAUACCGCAUACCCUCGGAUGUGCCCAGAUGGGAUUAGCUAGUAGGUGGGGUAACGGCUCACCUAGGCGACGAUCCCUAGCUGGUCUGAGAGGAUGACCAGCCACACUGGAACUGAGACACGGUCCAGACUCCUACGGGAGGCAGCAGUGGGGAAUAUUGCACAAUGGGCGCAAGCCUGAUGCAGCCAUGCCGCGUGUAUGAAGAAGGCCUUCGGGUUGUAAAACUCUGUUAGCAGGGAGGCGGUACCUAAACAAGAAGCCCCGGCUAACUCCGUGCCAGCAGCCGCGGUAAUUC